AAUGAACGUUGGCGGCAUGGAUUAGGCAUGCAAGUCGAGCGCGAAACGUAGCAAUACGUGGAGAGCGGCGAAAGGGAGAGGAAUAUGUGGGAACCUACCUUCGGGCCUGGAAUCGCGGCGGGAAACUGCCGGUAAUGCCAGAUAACGCCCCCGGACCAAAGGUGUGCUUCCGCCUGGAGAUGGGCCCACACCCUAUCAGCUUGUUGGUGUGGUAACGGCGCACCAAGGCUAAGACGGGUAUGGGGUGUGAGAGCAUGCCCCCACUCACUGGGACUGAGACGCUGCCCAGACACCUACGGGUGGCUGCAGGCGAGAAUCUUCGGCAAUGAGCGCAAGCUUGACCGAGCGAUGCCGCGGGCGGGAUGAAGGCCCGCGGGUUGUAAACCGCUGUCGUAGGGGAAUAACGGUCGGUGGGUUCGCCCAUCGAUUUGAAUGAGCCGAGGAGGAAGGACGGGCUAAGUUCGUG
rnacentral:rRNA from 1 species